rnacentral:rRNA from 1 species
UACGAAGGGUGCGAGCGUUGUUCGGAAUCACUGGGCGUAAAGCGCACGUAGGCGGACCGAUAAGUUGGGGGUGAAAGCCCAGGGCUCAACCCUGGAAAUGCCUUCAGUACUGUCGGUCUCGAGUUCGGGAGAGGUGGGUGGAAUUCCUCGUGUAGAGGUGAAAUUCGUAGAUAUGAGGAAGAACACCGGUGGCGAAGGCGGCUCACUGGCCCGAUACUGACGCUCAGGUGCGAAAGCGUGGGGAGCAAACAGG